AGCAUCUUUUCAAUAUAUACACGUCUUUAUAUAUCCAUUCAUUAGGUAAGGGAAUGAUUUUAUGUCAAAAUGGUAACCCCAAUGUAUUAAUUUAAAUC
rnacentral:miRNA from 1 species